CAGCAGCCGCGGUAAUACCGGCGGCCCGAGUGGCGGUCACUAUUAUUGGGCUUAAAACGUCCGUAGCCGGGUUGGGAAGUCCUCCGGGAAAUCUGGCCGCUUAACGGUCAGAAUGCCGGAGGAUACUCCCAGCCUAGGGAGCGGGAGAGGCCGAGGGUAUUCCCGGAGUAGGGGUGAAAUCCUAUAAUCCCGGGAGGACCACCUGUGGCGAAGGCGCUCGGCUGGAACGCGUCCGACGGUGAGGGACGAAGGCCAGGGGAGCAAACCGGAUUAGAUACCCGGGUAGUCCUGGCUGUAAACGAUGCGGACUUUGUGUCGGACAAGCUAUGAGCUUGUCCGGUGCCGGAGGGAAACCGUUAAGUCCGCCGCCUGGGGAGUACGGCCGCAAGGCUGAAACUUAAAGGAAUUGGCGGG
rnacentral:rRNA from 1 species